rnacentral:lncRNA from 1 species
AUUUUGAGAUGAGGAAUAUCAAACGUCUGGCUUUACAAGUAAAGAAGACAACAACAUCCAGUCGAGCAUCAGCAGCAGGUCAGAUGCAGAAAGAGAGAAGAAAUCUACUGCUUGCUGCUUCAGAAAACGUCACAGGAAACACCGAACAGAGAUUACAGACACGAGGAAAACAAGAGAGACGUGUAGAAAAGACAGCGCAAGAAUGAGAAGAAAUUCUCCAGUCUUUUCAGACCCGAAGACCUGCGGCUCCUCAAGAUGCUCCAAAGAUCAAGACGUGUUCUCAUCCCGACCUCAGCAGGUUACUCCAGAUCUCCGUCUGUGGAAAUAUCCUCAAGAUGCUGGUGUUUCCCGUCUCUGCCUUCACAAGCUGGAGGUCGACGUUCCUUCGACCUUUGAGUCUCGCAGUUUGGAACCAAACCUCCACUCUGAGUUUGCAUAUAUUUACGCUGAAAGCAUCAAAGGAUGCGACUCUUCCUGUUGCACUACUCCAGGAGACUGUAAUACCCACAAUCCCUUUGUCAAAACUGAACGAGAGCCUGAAUCUGUCUGGAACAGCUUUGAGGAAGAAUCUGAAGACUCCGAUUGGGAUUUAUACAUGUCUGCGCACAGUACAGCGGCUACUGCAGGUUCCAGAUUGAACGCUGAGCGCUUUGGGUCUUUAGAUGACUUUGACUUGACUUGUAUUUAUACAGACUGGGAAAGGAGAGCCGACAGUGCAGAAACCGAGCAGGGUUACAGUCCCGCCGAAGCGGAGUGGGGCUCCGAGAGUUCAUGUUCCACCGCUGACAGACAAACCAGCAGCUCGGAUUCAGACGGCUGCCGUUUAGAGGCUCUCGGUGACAUCAAAUGUCCAGACGGAUGGCCUGAAGUGUUUCUGCCAGGAUUUGAGGGCUGCUUUGACUGCUGGGAUGUAGUUGAAGACAUCUGCAGAGGCACAGAGAGCGAUUCUGAGGAUACAGGUGAACUGUGGGGUGUCGUGACUCAAAUGGACCGCCGGCAUUUCUCUGAAUUUUUCUGUGAAAUGGUUAAAGAAGUGACGCAGGAGAAAGACGCAGAGAAAAUGAAUGUAAAUGAGGGGUUUCUGUUCCACCCUAAGCAGUUCCUCCAGGUGAAAAACUCAGAAUAUCGAGAGGGUCGUGAAUAUUCAUUUCUCCGUCACAUUCAAAACGGCUCAUAUGGAGACGUCUUCAGCAUUCGGGACAAACAAACAGGAUUUACGUGUGCCGCCAAAAAAGUGAAUAUCCGUUUCU